AGGCCCUGACGGCGUACCUUUUGUAUAAUGGGUCAGCGACUUAGUUUUGCGAGCGAGCUUAAGCCGUUAGGUGUAGGCGAAGCGAAAGCGAGUCUGAACAGGGCGUUCAGUUCGUAGGACUAGACCCGAAACCGAGUGAUCUAGCCAUGGGCAGGUUGAAGGUGGAGUAACACCCACUGGAGGACCGAACCCACGUCUGUUGAAAAAGACGGGGAUGACCUGUGGCUAGGGGUGAAAGGCCAAUCAAACUCGGAAAUAGCUGGUUCUCCGCGAAAGCUAUUUAGGUAGCGCGUCGUGUGAUUACCUGCGGGGGUAGAGCACUGGAUCGGGACGGGGGGCGCGAGCCUUACCAACUCGAACCAAACUCCGAAUACCGCAGAGUACAGCACGGCAGACAGACUCCGGGUGCUAAGGUCCGGGGUCAAGAGGGAAACAGCCCAGACCGCCAGCUAAGGUCCCCAAGUCGUAGCUAAGUGGGAAAGGAUGUGGGACGGCCAAAACAACCAGGAGGUUGGCUUAGAAGCAGCCAUCCUUUAAAGAAAGCGUAACAGCUCACUGGUCUAAUAGCUGUCCUGCGCCGAAGAUGUACCGGGGCUCAAGCUACGCACCGAAGCUGCGGACUUGUCUUUGACAAGUGGUAGCGGAGCGUUCCGUAGGCCUGCGAAGGUGAACCGUGAGGUUUGCUGGAGGUAUCGGAAGCGAGAAUGCUGACAUGAGUAGCGAUAAACAGGGUGAGAAACCCUGUCGCCGAAAGUCCAAGGGUUCCUGCGCAAGGCUAAUCCGCGCAGGGUGAGCCGGCCCCUAAGGCGAGGCCGAAAGGCGUAGCCGAUGGGAACCAGGUUAAUAGUCCUGGGCCUGUGGGAAGUGACGCGCCCCGUAAGUCGUUUCUCCUUAUCGGAUUGGAGAGGCGGCGAAGGGGGGCCUGGAAAUAACUCCCACGUAUAGACCGUACCCGAAACCGACACAGGUGGACUGGUAGAGUAUACCAAGGCGCUUGAGAGAAUGGUGUUGAAGGAACUAGGCAAAAUACCCCCGUAACUUCGGGAGAAGGGGGCCUUCCUGUUGGGCAACCAGCAGGGAGGGGCACAGACCAGGGGGUGGCGACUGUUUACUAAAAACACAGGGCUCUGCGAAGUCGCAAGACGACGUAUAGGGUCUGACGCCUGCCCGGUGCCGGAAGGUUAAGAGGAGGGGUUCACGCUCUGAAUCGAAGCCCCGGUAAACGGCGGCCGUAACUAUAACGGUCCUAAGGUAGCGAAAUUCCUUGUCGGGUAAGUUCCGACCUGCACGAAUGGCGUAACGACUUCCCCGCUGUCUCCAACACCAACUCAGCGAAAUUGAAUUCUCCGUGAAGAUGCGGAGUUCCCGCGGUUAGACGGAAAGACCCCGUGAACCUUUACUACAGCUUCGCAGUGGCAUCAGGGUUCGAAUGUGUAGGAUAGGUGGGAGGCUUUGAAGCAUGGGCGCCAGCCUGUGUGGAGCCGUCCUUGAAAUACCACCCUUUCGGACCUUGAUGUCUAACCGCGUCCCGUCAUCCGGGACCGGGACCCUGCGUGGCGGGUAGUUUGACUGGGGCGGUCGCCUCCCAAAGAGUAACGGAGGCGCGCGAUGGUGGGCUCAGACCGGUCGGAAAUCGGUCGUCGAGUGCAAGAGCAGAAGCCCGCCUGACUGUGACAUCGACGGAUGGAACAGAGACGAAAGUCGGCUCUAGUGAUCCGGUGGUCCCGAGUGGAAGGGCCAUCGCUCAACGGAUAAAAGGUACUCCGGGGAUAACAGGCUGAUACCGCCCAAGAGUCCACAUCGACGGCGGUGUUUGGCACCUCGAUGUCGGCUCAUCACAUCCUGGGGCUGGAGCAGGUCCCAAGGGUAUGGCUGUUCGCCAUUUAAAGUGGUACGUGAGCUGGGUUUAGAACGUCGUGAGACAGUUCGGUCCCUAUCUGCCGUGGGUGUAGGACGCUUGAGAGGAUCUGUCCCUAGUACGAGAGGACCGGGAUGGACGUACCUCUGGUGUACCAGUUGUCGCGCCAGCGGCACCGCUGGGUAGCUAUGUACGGACGGGAUAACCGCUGAAAGCAUCUAAGCGGGAAACCCACCUCAAAACCAGGCGUCCCUGAGAGCCGUGAAAGACCAUCACGUCGAUAGGCCGGGUGUGGAAGUGCAGCAAUGCAUGCAGCUAACCGGUACUAAUCGCUCGAUAGGCUUCGAU
rnacentral:rRNA from 1 species